UGUUAUAUAGCAUAAUGGUAAUGCAAUAAAUUGCAAAUUUAUUUUAUAGUAGUUCGAAUCCACUUAUAACAU
rnacentral:tRNA from 5 species